UUUAUUUAAAUUACCGAAAAGUUGUAGACUGGGUUCGGUAUUAUUGUCUAUUCUGUCGCGUGAUUGUUGGUUACUUUUCAAACCCGUCAAAAAAUAUGUCUGCGCGCAAGGAGGGCCGGCUACACCGAAAGCGGUUAAUAAAACACACUUUGUUGUCCUACAAUGGCUACAUACGGUCGUCUUACCAUCCUGACAUUCAAUCUGUAAACCCAGGAAAAAGACAUUCUCGCCCCGAUAUUAAACAAUUUGAUUGCAUCGGUGGCUAAAAAUGUGGCUUUGACAGUUAACUGCUAAAGCAAUUAUUCUUUUGGGAUGAGACAGUGACAUUAGUGUUCAUUAACUUAGCUAACUAGUUUGCUUGUGUUUUCUUGUCUAGAAAAAUUAUUUAAAUGAAGAACUAGUAUUUAGUCAUGAGUUUUAAUGUGUAGUUGUAUUUGCAUCAUAAUUUUGAAUGGAAAACCUAAUAAAGUAACUGUUUAAGAAGCUAAGUAUAUUUAUUAUAAUUGCUGCAAAUUUUUCUGUAAAGGCAGUUAUACACCCUUCAAUAUUCAAGAACACGGGUAGUACAGUACUACCUGUUUUUUUUGAUAUGGUAGUACACGUACUAAUUGAUUUUCAGCGUUACUCCUUGUCUUUCUGUCAGUGGUAGUACCGUUACUAAUUUCACAAAUCCUUAUCUGGAGCUCUGCGGUUCUCAUGUUAAAUCUAUGUUACCAGACCACAUUGCGUUGAAAAGUUUGACUAUUGCUAUAAGGAACACUGAUUUCGUAUGUAUGAACUUUAUUUUUCAAAAUAUUUUUCAAAAUAUUCGUUGAUUGUGAGUGUAAAUUGGGGUUUCAACAUUCUUUUCCUCUGAAACCUAAUAACCCAAACAUUUGAUAUUGUUUAAGUAGCACAGCAUUGUUGCUUUUCUACUAAUUUAGUUCCAAUUAUGCCAGGAAGUAAAAACUGGCCAGACCCAGGGACCAAUUUUUAAUUCUUUCAUCUUGAUACUGUUGUGCCGGUGCCCGGCCUACAAAACGCGCACAUACCUCGUGACUGGGAACCAGCGACAAAUCGAUAUAGUGCAUGCUGGGUAGCACGAGUUUGUACGGUCUCUUGUGCACGGGACGUUGAGUACGUGUUUGCCUGGAAGUGUAUUCCAAGAAGUACAUGUAUAGUGCCAUUUCGUGACGUGGACGAGCCGACAAGUGUACCCGACGAGCCGACGAGUGCACCCGACGAGCCGACGAGUGUACCCGACGAGCCGACGCGUGAAGCCGACAAGUUCCCUCGAAGACGACGAGGACGAUUGGUGCCGUCCAGACGUGGAUUCCAGUCGAUGCCCAU